ACACGCUCCUGUCUGCGCAGCCAGAGCAGGAUCCAGUCGACAAGAGGACAAAAAGAAUGACAGGCGCAAAACUCUUGAACUUCAACUUUACAGGGUGACGCUGGAAAGCGGGAGAGAAAUAAACCCGGGGCAGAGAGCAGGAAUAAAAACUCUUAUUUCAGGGAAAGACUCUACAGAAGCUGCUGCAGCCUGUUGAUCGGUACAGAAUGUGUGUAAAGUCUUCCUGAAUGUACAGUGAUAUUAGCACUGGAAUAUUACCCUGUUGUGUGGCUUGCCUCUGUGGAGCAGCUCCAUUACAAAGGUCAGAUGUAAAUACUUCCUUUGCAUGGGAUGGCUGACUUUCUGCAUGGCUGCCUGCGUUUGCUGUUGAUUUAGAGUCUACCAGUCAUCUGAGUGAUUGACUGCUUAAUUGUUUAGCCUCUACCUGUUUGUCUGCUUUCCCUUUCCGUCUUUCUUUAUCUGCCUAUAUUUGUUGUGUGCCUGUUCUUUCAAGACCGUGUACGCUCUCCCCACUGGGUGUUUUGCUGGCACCAUAUAGUGUGAACAAAGGUCAUAAAAAGUUCUCAAAAAGCAGCAGACGGGGUGUUAUGGCAGUGCCGAAGCAGGGCCGGGGCUGCCUCAGACAUUCCUCUCAUUGUUCAGAGGCCCUGUAAGUGUGCGUGCUCCGAAACCUCCAUGAAAGGAAGAGAAUCCAGCCACAACUGUAGCUGAAAAGGUUUCAGCUGCACUUAAGGGCUGCUUGUCUCUGUUUCCCUGUCCGCUGUCCUGUCUGGUUCUUCUCUUGAGGGUGGUGGUAAAACUAAAUCAGGUUGUGAACGACAUGAAAAGAGCAGAAGGAAGUUCACAUGAGGCUGACGCAGCAAGGACAGAUGAGAUAAGGGUCAAGAUGAAACACAUUUAAUAAGAUAAUUUAUUCAGUUUUCAGUGUGUCUGAUUGUGGCUUAAGAUUAAAGAAUGAAGAGAGGUUAAAUGAGUUCUAAGAAAACAAAUUGCUGGUUAAAUGGCUGAAUGUUUGGAUGGAGGGAUGGAAGAGUAGCAGGAGGGAGGGUGAAGAUCCAGACAAGCUUUGGUGAGGUUGUUGGGUGGGUGAGUGGGUGUGCCUGGCAGGAAUCUGUACGACUGGGCCCUGGCUCAGGAAACGGUGGCGUAGUGGAAUAAAAGUGUAUGAGUAUAGCCUCUGCAGCCAUUCGUGCAUGUGCGGUUCAAUGGCAACAGGGCAGCUGUGCACUAAGUACAGGGCUGGUGGUGGUGAGGGUGUUUGGCUAUGAACCAGGCUGAGGAUAGGGUUACAAGCACUGGGCUACAGGGAGUGGACCACUAGCUUGGGCUGGGCUCUUCGCUCAAGCACAACAACCCUUUAAAGCUUUUCUUUUUUUUUUUAAACGACUAAUGUCCCACAUGUGGCACAUUCUUCCAAUGAGUCCAGGCCAGGCGGUGACUGUUUGCCUUUGAUUCCAGAAAACUGCAACAGAUUAGGCCCGCAGUGGACCCAGAUCCCUUGUUUGAAUGUCGCUGAAUGUCACGGCCUUUGAAAUAAUUACACCCUGACACGCAACUUGAAACAAAAUCAGAACCUCGGUCACAUACACACACACAAACCGAGACGUGCCCUGUAUGAUUAGUGAGCUAAGGUGUGGUGCUGUGUAAGGUGUGUAAGUUCAAAGAUCCAGGGAUGUGCCUUACGGUUUUCCAGUAGUUUUGCUUUUGUACUAAAACAACUAUUAAGUGGAGGCCUGAGACAUUCGAGUAAUGGAUCUAUUGUAAAACUAAAUGAUGUGGAGAAUAACUUUGGUGAUUUAGUCUACACGUUUUAAAAUUGAAAAAGUUGAGUAUGUAGAAGUGUAAUGGAUAUGGCGGCAGUUAUGAAAAGCAAACAUUGUAUGUUUGCUUUCUAGAAAAGGAGUUCCGACGUUAUAGUAAGCUUUCAGCUCAAGCCCUGACUUGAAUCCUCAUCCAUUACACCUGGAGGAGCACUGAUCAUGUUUUUCCCUUGCCAAGGUGGACUUUUUGUAGCUUUGAUUGCGUCUUUCUCAGUUUUUACUGGAAUGAAACGGAGCCAUCCGACUUCUUGUAGCCGCCUUGACAACCAACAAUUUUAUUUUUUUCAUAUUCUACUGCUCUGCUUAUAUACUUGUUUCAGGUCUUGUGUUAUGAGUGUAGUAAAUAUUUUCUACCAAAACAUACCGCUUUCAACAUAUUAGGUUAGAAUAGGGCUACAAAUUUGUCAUUAUUCAAAUGAGUCAUCAGACAAAACAGAUAAAUAGAAUUAUGGGGUGAUAAAGUACGUCUUUUAGAAAAUAGUUAAAAAUUAAUUUUCCUUUCAAUUUAAGAUUUCAACAUUUCAAAAAUCAUUAAUUCCCCAAAUUCAGUAAAAUACUGAAAUGCAAAGAAAAAAGAAAUUAUGUACAAUUGUUUGAGAUAAAAACAGGUAUACGAGUUAUCGAACGGGUGAAUUUUCCAAGAUGAGGAAUGGAUUAAAAUACUUUAAAUUUAAGUCUCCCUGUCAAGUUAGAAGUAUUUUACAAUUUAAGGUAAAAGCCAUGUGUGAUUUUAUGUAUUUGCACUUUUACCCAUUAAUGAGACAGUGAAAUCCCAGCUAAGGCACAAACAAUGUUUGCCCAGCAGCCCCACUGACAUAACCCUGUUUGUUUGCUGAUGGUGAGCAUAUUGUGCUUGGAGAGGUAGAUUCAGCCUGUGAGCCAUAGAAAGGAAGGUUGAUACGUGUUGAAACAACAAGAGGUCAAGAUCCAGCUGUCUCAACAUAGGCUUUUCCACUUAACUGUGCGGCCUUGUGUAAACGACAAUGUCAAAUCGGGACUCACGCUGAAGGGAAAGCAGCCAGUGGCCACGUCUGCACUUGGAUCUCUAUAUAUCCUGUGUAUGAAGAGUGGAACACACACAUAAUGUAAACUGCACACCCUAAGCCAUCAAAAAAUCUAGAAACAAGGCCAUAGUGCACGAAAACUGCAAAAGAAAACCUUUGACUUUACUAGAGUGCAUCUGCUGGAAAUCAUCACCCAGUGAUGCAAGUUUUCCUACUCAACACUUACAUCAAGAUGCAACACGUCGGCACAUUUGUGCAACCCACGUGCCAAAACUUUGCGUGAUUGUUUCUUACCACAAUAAACACCUAAUUACAAAGAGGCAUGAGAACAGCAUUAAAGGGGGGGGGACAUAAGCUCUGUUGAGAUUCUUCAAGCCAGUACUUGAGGUGAGGUGUUGGACAGCCCUUGUCAACCGAAUACGCCGUCAUUACAGAGGAAAAGGGAAGGAAUGAGCUCAUAGACAUUAAUGGCUGUGGGUUCGAAGGAGGGAGCGUGAAGGGGUGGGGUUGGGGGGGCUGGUUGGAAAAGAUGAAAAGGCAGACAAAAUAACAGCAUGAGUCGAGCCACCACUAGAUGAAAGGAGGGAGGGAUGGAAGGGUUUAAGGUUGAGCGGGGAGAGGAGUUAAAGGGGAGUUAGUGCGCAGUCUUUGAAGGGUGCUGGGACCUUAGGCGACCUUGGUGUUUUUUUUCUUUGUGACCAGGUGGAUGUAUUUUGGCAUAGAACUGAAACCAAGUAAAACGUCCGAAGCGAAAAAUCAAAUUUGUUUUUAUUGAUAGAAUACAACCUUUUCUUGAAUGUCAUUCUGCCCAUGCCAUCCACAGAUACUUUUGUAAUGUGCUUGUAAACAAAAUGAGACAAUGCACUACUCAGAAGCAAUCAAAGCCGAUGAAAUCACUGUUUUAUUUUAUGAGUUCAUUGGACUAAAAAAAAAAAAUUUCCUUGUUGGAGUACUUUUGUUUAUUUUGGGUUUAUUUAAGAGGAAGUUUUCUACUAUUUUGCAAAGCUCUCUGAAACUGCAACAGAUCAGUGAUGCUGAUUGCGGAGCCAAAGCUUCCCCGUGCGUUUAGAGCAGAUCUCCAACAGGGCGGAUGGUUGAAACCCAUUUAGACUCUGGAGUUCCCCAAACGUGUCCCACUGACUAACACCUAGCAGACGGCGGAUUAUUAAUGUGGCUGAAAAUAAAAAACGACUUUAGGGAAAUGGCACAUUAGGGAACUUAGAGUAUGAUAUAGUUACUUUUGAAAUGAGUAGUAUUGCUUUUUUCUUUUAGAGAUAUUCUCAAAAUCCUGUGAUUCAUUUAGGUUUUUCUUUUCUUUUUUGGGAUAACAAGAAGCAGAAAGAAUUCAACUUGAUUCCUAGUUUUCCACACAAGACCCACAGAUAAUGAGGCAGAACAAAAAGGGUAGUCGACUUUAUAGGGAGUGCCACUUCCUUCUUAACCAACUCUCCAUUCUGUCAUUGACAAGUUAUUUUUAUAAGAGGCCGAGGGGAGCAGAAGAGAGCCAUGUAUACACAUAUAACACUUUCUAACCUGAGAGUUUACCAAGACACAUAAAAGAGAGGAUUUGCGUAAGAAGGCAGCCGGGGGGACAAUACAUCAAGGGUAUAGAUGACGCUGGAGCUCUAUUUUGGUGUUUAUUAUUCAUAGGUUUGCAUGAUCCUUUUUGCCACGAAUCACCUAGACGUCUCUGCUGGCCAGGGGAAUUCCUGGUAGAGUGAUUUUUGAGACUACAGGACUGAAUCACAUUGCCAGGGAUUUCCAAUGGCUGACACGAAGAAAAGCAGCAACCUUCUCACGAACGCACCAAACACACAGAGACUCAAAAUUACUACCUCACUCACAGACACACCCAUGCUUUUCAUUUGCAUGUUCACACACCAACACAAACGUCACCGGCAGAUGCUGGUUUUCAAGCCUUGCUGUGCGGCUGCAGGACUUAACUCACAUGUGAACAGUGAGUGCCUUCCAUGUUCACAGUGGUUAAGUUCUGCCGCCACAGGGCUACAGCCUGCAGGUGGGAGACUAAAGGUCAGGGAGGGGCAACAAGCUCUACAGAUGAGCAUCACACUUCAUACCACGGCUGUAUCAAAUAUAAAAAAAA